GAUGAAGAACGUAGCGAAAUGCGAUAAGUAAUGUGAAUUGCAGAAUUCAGUGAAUCAUCGAAUCUUUGAACGCACAUUGCGCCCCUUGGUAUUCCGAGGGGCAUGCCUGUUCGAGCGUCAUAUUAACCACUCCCGCUUGCGGGGUCUUGGGCUUCGCCUCCGGGCGGGCCUUAAAAUCAGUGGCGGUGCCGUCGGGCUCUACGCGUAGUAAAUUUUCUCGCGAUAGGGUCCCGGUGGAUGUUUGCCAACAACCCCCAACUUCUUAAGGUUGACCUCGGAUCAGGUAGGGAUACCCGCUGAACUUAAGCAUAUCAAUAAGCGGAGGA
rnacentral:misc_RNA from 1 species